UAGUAAGUGUUUUAUGGCACUUUUUAAAUCCAUAUCCACCUUGUGUGCAAUGUCAGUCGAUCUUCUUCACUGGAGAUUGACCAAACAUCAACCUUUAUUUUUUAACUCUUUGUCUGAAAAAUAUUAUGAAUAAACAAUUCAAAAUA
rnacentral:misc_RNA from 1 species